AGGGGAAUGCAGUCAAAGCGUCCGUCAAGGGACGAAUGGAUAAACACGAUAUGCUUAUAUACCGACAGUGGAAUCUUACCCAAUCUACAAAGGAAGGAAAGGACACAUGCUACGACACAGAUGAACCUCGAGGACACUAUGCUUGCUGCGCUGUUGGAAAGGUCCAUGUGGCAGGGAACUGAGGGUGGCCUCCAGCCAACCACCAGCAAAGAAUUGGGGCCCUCCAUACUACAACCUGCAAGAAACUGAAUCCUUCCACUGGCCACAUAGGGGAGCUUAGAAGCAGAUUCUUCUCCGGUUAAAAGUUAAUGGGACUAUAGCCCUGACCAACACCUUGAUCACAGCCUGGACCAGACCCUGAAGCAGGGCUGAGCUUAACUGUGCCCAGAUUCCUGACCCACAGAAACUAUAAAUAAUAAAUAUUGUCAUUUUAGGCUA